CAUUUGUAUUGAUGCUGUUUAAAGAUUUACUCCGAGCACGGCUCGCUCGCCCUCUCAUUGUUUUUCCUCCACGCGCAGAACGAAGCGUUAAAAUCUCGUCGACACAGGAAGCUGCCCCCGACUGAGCAGGCCACAGGUGGCCAAACAAUACCCGGCUCUUUACAGCCCAACAGUCUCAGCUUCCCUUGCUGUGCUACAAUUAGAAUAAGUGGAUUGAUCAGUGAAAGAUGGACAAAAU